CCUACGGGAGGCAGCAGUGAGGAAUAUUGGUCAAUGGGCGCGAGCCUGAACCAGCCAAGUCGCGUGAGGGAAGACGGUCCUAUGGAUUGUAAACCUCUUUUGUCGGGGAGCAAAAGACGCCACGCGUGGCGUUCCGAGAGUACCCGAAGAAAAAGCAUCGGCUAACUCCGUGCCAGCAGCCGCGGUAAUACGGAGGAUGCGAGCGUUAUCCGGAUUUAUUGGGUUUAAAGGGUGCGCAGGCGGAAGAUAAAGUCAGCGGGAAAAUUGAGAGGCUCAACCUCUUCGAGCCGUUGAAACUGGUUUUCUUGAGUGAGCGAGAAGUAGGCGGAAUGCGUGGUGUAGCGGUGAAAUGCAUAGAUAUCACGCAGAACUCCGAUUGCGAAGGCAGCAUACCGGCGCUCAACUGACGCUCAUGCACGAAAGUGUGGGUAUCGAACAGGAUUAGAUACCCCUGUAGUC
rnacentral:rRNA from 1 species